rnacentral:tRNA from 1 species
GAGAGUUGGCUGAGCGGUCGAAAGCGGUGGUCUUGAAAACCAUUGAAGUGAAAGCUUCCGUGGGUUCGAAUCCUACACUCUCC